ensembl:lncRNA
GAAACCCAGAGAGCACUUACCAAGAAAGGAAGUACUGAUGGAGCACACAGAAGAGUGAGUCGACAUCCAGGGGCAGUCUGGAAGACUUCCUAGAGCUGAGCUUCCAGCUGGACUUUCAAGGAGAAGAGGGAACAGAAACCGUGAGCAAUCCAUUGAGUCACUUGGUAAUUUACUGAGCAUCACUGUGUGUCUACUGCUAGACACUGGAGACACGGAGGCGAGCGCCACAGAACAGCUUGGGGUAAAUCCUGUCACCAAGUAGAAACCAGUGCUGUAAGAACAUGGAGGAUGAUCAGGUGAGCUCUGACAUCCAGGAGGAUUCAUCACAGCAAACCUUGAAAGAUGGAUGAGAUUUUCAGAGGGUGAACGUGGAAGAAGGGGAAAGCAUUUCGCUCCUCACCUAUUUUGCUGGACUUUCUCCCAUCUCUCUCUCUUUUUUAAAAGUCCAUGGAUCAAAACUGAGAUGCCAGCUCCCAGUUAGGACAAGCCCAGUGUGGAGGACAGAGCUGGGGAUUGCUUCUUGGCCUUUGCGUGGCCCACGUCUACUAAUGCUCCUGGCGGCACACUGCCUUCCCAGCAUCAGGGCACAUGUGCAGCUGUGAUCAGUGAAAAGCCACUCCAACCACCACCCUCAUCUCCAAACAAUAAAGCUUCAUUGGUGAAGGCAUUUGAGAAUUACAGUGGCUUGUUACUCUCACAUCAGUCAUCCCUAUCUUAUUGAAUUUAAGAAGAAGGGAAACUCAACACUGCUCAAGAGCAGUCCCUCUAAAUAUAAAUGUUUACCUCAAGGCAUUGCACUUCUUUCAAAACACUCUCUUCCCAUUCCUGUCCUUGCCAUUUCACUCCCUGUCCACCUCAUGGGAGUUCACCCCCUCUCACUUCCUGCCCAACCCAAGCCUGGUAUGAACAUUUUCUAUAACUAUAUUAGUCUUUAGAUGUCUCUAGCUGUAUUUGUUUUCUUCUCCUACCUUUUUUCUUUUCCUUUCCUACUCUUUCAUGUCAGACUUAAUUAAUCAAUAAACUUUUAUUGAGCAUUUCCUAAGUGCUGGGUUCAAUCAGGGAAUAUAUAGACAAACCCAGGGGCUAGUCCUGGUCCUGAAGCCCUUAU